rnacentral:rRNA from 1 species
CCCGGGGUGCAGGCAACACCGUUGAAAUGCUGAGCGUGUCGGCGAAAGCCUCACUAUCAGCAGCCGGCGCGUCCGCGCCCGGCUCACAGAUCAUCCGACGGUGACCUCUCGGGGUUAAGAUAUGAUCGGUCCUGGCCCCCGUGGGCCCUGGAGAAAAGGAACCUGCGGAAGGAUCAUUACCGAGAGACGGGGUCUAACCGGCCCCACCUCUUCACCCCUGUUUACCCACACCAUGUUGCUUCCGCGUGAUCUGCCGGCACUGUCGCUUUCGAUGAGAGCAGUAAUUCGGGCUGACCAGACGCCCUUCAAACCCUGUGUUCAGCGUCGUCCGAGUACAAACAAUCGUUAAAACUUUCAACAACGGAUCUCUAGGUUCCGGCGUCGAUGAAGAACGCAGCGAAAUGCGAAAAGUAAUGUGAAUUGCAGAAUUCAGUGAAUCAUCGAAUCUUUGAACGCACAUUGCGCCCUUUGGUAUUCCGAAGGGCAUGCCUGUUCGAGCGUCAUUGCACCCCUCAAGCAUUGCUUGGUAUUGAGCUUCGCCCCCGCGGCGGGCCCGAAUUACAGUGGCGGUCCAGCGAGACUUCAAGCGUAGCAAGAUUAUCCACAUCCCGCUUUCGAAGCCUAUCUCGCUGCGCGCCGGCCAGACAACCCUAUACACUCCAAUGAUUGACCUCGGAUCAGGUAAGGAUACCCGCUGAACU